AGUGAACGCUGGCGGUAGGCCUAACACAUGCAAGUCGAACGGCAGCACAGUAAGAGCUUGCUCUUACGGGUGGCGAGUGGCGGACGGGUGAGGAAUACAUCGGAAUCUACUUUUUCGUGGGGGAUAACGUAGGGAAACUUACGCUAAUACCGCAUACGACCUACGGGUGAAAGCAGGGGAUCUUCGGACCUUGCGCGAUUGAAUGAGCCGAUGUCGGAUUAGCUAGUUGGCGGGGUAAAGGCCCACCAAGGCGACGAUCCGUAGCUGGUCUGAGAGGAUGAUCAGCCGCACUGGAACUGAGACACGGUCCAGACUCCUACGGGAGGCAGCAGUGGGGAAUAUUGGACAAUGGGCGCAAGCCUGAUCCAGCCAUACCGCGUGGGUGAAGAAGGCCUUCGGGUUGUAAAGCCCUUUUGUUGGGAAAGAAAAGCAGCAGGUUAAUACCACGCUGUUCUGACGGUACCCAAAGAAUAAGCACCGGCUAACUUCGUG
rnacentral:rRNA from 1 species